GGCCCCGGGGUGUCACAUGUGGGAUUGCAACUCCCGAGAAGCAGAAGAAUUUCUGCCGGGGCU
rnacentral:tRNA from 1 species